rnacentral:rRNA from 1 species
GUGCCAGCCGCCGCGGUAAUACGUAGGUGACAAGCGUUAUCCGGAAUUAUUGGGCGUAAAGCGCACGCAAGCGGUCGGACAAGUCCGGCGUGAAAUCUUUUGGCUUAACCAAGAGCGGUCGCGGGAAACUGUUCGACUUGAGGCGAUGAGAGGGGUGCAGAAUUCCCGGUGUAGUGGUGGAAUGCGUAGAUAUCGGGAGGAAUACCAGUGGCGAAAGCGGCACCCUGGCGUCGUACUGACGCACAUGUGCGAAAGCGUGGGGAGCGAACGGGAUUAGAAACCCUUGUAGUCC